rfam:Schistosoma rodhaini strain Burundi genome assembly, scaffold: SROB_scaffold0003586
AUUGAGCUGAUGAGUCCCGAAUAGGACGAAGAGCACGUCCUUAAU